UACGUAGGGUGCGAGCGUUGUCCGGAAUUACUGGCGUAAAGAGCUCGUAGGUGUUGUCGCGUUGUUCGUGAAACUCACAGCUCAACUCCGGAUCUGCGGUGGUACGGCAGACUAGAGUGAUGUAGGGAGACUGGAAUUCCUGUGUAGCGUGAAUGCGCAGAUAUCAGGAGACACCGAUGGCGAGCAGGUCUCUGGCAGUUAACUGACGGCGAGGAGCGAAGCAUGGGAGCGAACAG
rnacentral:rRNA from 1 species